AACGAACGCUGGCGGCAGGCCUAACACAUGCAAGUCGAGCGAGAUCUUCGGGUCUAGCUGCGGACGGGAGAGUAACGCGUGGGAAUAUUCCCUUCUCUGCGGAAUAGCCUCGGGCAACUGAGCGUAAUACCGCAUACGUCCUAUGGGGGAAUGAUUGAUCGGAGAAGGAUUAGCCCGCGUUGGAUUAGGAAGUUGGUGUGGUAACGGCAUACCAAGCCGAGGAUCCAUAGCUGGUUAGAGAGGAUGAUCAGACACACUGGGACUGUGACACGGCCCAGACUCCUACGGGAGGCAGCAGUGGGGGAUCGUAGAAAAUGGGGGCAACCAUGAUCGAGCCAUGCCGCGUGAGUGAUGAAGGCCUUAGGGUUGUAAAGCUCUUUCAGCUAGGAAGAUAAUGACGGUACCAGCAGAAGAAGCCCCGGCCAACUCCGUG
rnacentral:rRNA from 1 species